GGGGACUCCGAGUGCGAGGGCUAUAGUCCUCGCUUUUCUGGAUCGUAAGGAGAUCCCGGAACAAGGGCUGGGCAAGACCGGUGCCAGCCGCCGCGGUAAUACCGGCAGCCCGAGUGAUGGCCGCUAUUAUUGGGCCUAAAGCGUCCGUAGCCGGCCAAACGGGUCCGUUGGGAAAUCCGCGCGCCUAACGCGUGGGCGUCCAGCGGAAACUGACUGGCUUGGGGCCGGAAGACCUGAGGGGUACGUCCGGGGUAGGAGUGAAAUCCCGUAAUCCUGGACGGACCACCGGUGGCGAAAGCGCCUCAGGAAGACGGACCCGACAGUGAGGGACGAAAGCUAGGGUCUCGAACCGGAUUAGAUACCCGGGUAGUCCUAGCUGUAAACGAUGCUCGCUAGGUGUGGCGCAGGCUACGAGCCUGCGCUGUGCCGUAGGGAAGCCGAGAAGCGAGCCGCCUGGGAAGUACGUCUGCAAGGAUGAAACUUAAAGGAAUUGGCGGGGGAGCACUACAACCGGAGGAGCCUGCGGUUUAAUUGGACUCAACGCCGGACAUCUCACCAGCACCGACAGUGUUCAUGAACGGCAGGUUGACGACGUUACUCUGCGCUACUGAGAA
rnacentral:rRNA from 1 species